AUGAGUUUAAAAAUCACUUAUUUAGUUUUAUUAACCAUACUAUCAUUUGUUCUAAUAAAAGAAACAAAUGGACAAGACGAGGAUGAAGGGCCAAAAGAUAUUACUAUAUUUGAUUUGGUUAAUUUCGUUGUAGAUACAAUAAAUUUUGUCCAAAAAAUGCGAUACGAUUUUUGUAAAAAAGCUCAACGUUUACUUCAAUUGGUUUACCAUGUAAAAUGUUAAAAAUAAACAAAUGGGCAGGAUGAUACGGAUCAGGACGAUGAUGAAGGCCCACACUAUAUUACUGUAUUUGAUUUGAUUUUUUUUGGAAUAAAAUUAAUAAA